rnacentral:rRNA from 1 species
AGAGUUUGAUCCUGGCUCAGAACGAACGCUGGCGGCGUGCCUAACACAUGCAAGUCGUACGAGAAAUCCUGAGCAAUCGGGAGAGUAAAGUGGCGCACGGGUGAGUAACGCGUGGGUAACCUAUCCUUGAAUCCGGGAUAACUCCGCGAAAGCGGGGCUAAUACCAGAUAAUAUUUCAAUUCCUUCGGAAGUUGGAAUCAAAGAUGGCCUCUGCAUGCAAGCUAUUGUUUAAGGAUGGGCCCGCGUACCAUUAGCUAGUUGGUAGGGUAAUAGCCUACCAAGGCAACGAUGGUUAGCUGGUCUGAGAGGAUGGUCAGCCACACUGGAACUGAGACACGGUCCAGACUCCUACGGGAGGCAGCAGUGGGGAAUCUUGCGCAAUGGGGGAAACCCUGACGCAGCAACGCCGCGUGGGUGAUGAAGGCCUUCGGGUCGUAAAGCCCUGUCAGGUGGGAAGAAACRUGUCGAUGUGAAUACCAUCGGCAUUUGACGGUACCACCGAAGGAAGCACCGGCUAACUCCGUGCCAGCAGCCGCGGUAAUACGGAGGGUGCAAGCGUUGUUCGGAAUUAUUGGGCGUAAAGCGCGUGUAGGCGGUCGGGUAAGUCAGAUGUGAAAGCCUUCCGCUCAACGGGAGAAGUGCAUUUGAAACUGCUCGGCUAGAGUACGGGAGAGGAGAGUGGAAUUCCCGGUGUAGAGGUGAAAUUCGUAGAUAUCGGGAGGAACACCAGUGGCGAAGGCGGCUCUCUGGUCCGAUACUGACGCUGAGACGCGAAAGCGUGGGGAGCAAACAGGAUUAGAUACCCUGGUAGUCC